rnacentral:lncRNA from 1 species
GUUGUGAUUGAAUCCGCAAAAAAAGAUACACUUGCAACCAAGGAGUUUGUAUCACCCUCCAGAGAUAUAUUAUGUAAUUUUCUAAUUGAUAUUGAAUGAGUAUGCAUACUUAUUGAUGUCGUUCAAUGUAUUGCAAUAUAGAUAAUUAAUAAUCAAACUUGAAAUAUUACGAAUGAAUACAAAAUUUACUUCGCUGUUUUCGAUUGUUUUGUCUGCUUUGAGAUUUAGUAUUAAUUUUUCAUUAAUCAACUGUAUUUAUGAUUUAUAAAAUGGGAGUUAAGAUAUGUUCCAUGUAUUAUACUAUUUAUUACUUCUACGACAAACGGUUGUUUGUCAGAAAAGCAAGGGCGUUGGGACAUCAGAGUAUCAAAAAGUGGAUAUUUUCCGUCCGAAAUGAAUGUACUGCUUCCUUGAGACGACUGACAGCCUUGGAUAAAUCUAAAUAGGGAUUCAAACUGUCUAUUUUCAAUUUAUUUCAUCGUUUAUUUGUGUCUCCCACCUGCUACAUUUUGUUCAGUUUUCACAGAGACCUUUCAGUCUAUUAUAAUU